CGUAGGCAGGCGGACAGCCAGCCAGCCGUACCUCCUCCCUCCUCCCUCCGUCCCGGCUGCUACCCUUUCGUCCCUCUCUGCCUCACGUACGUGGGAGCUGCCCGAGUGUCUGCUCCCGGAAAGAAGAAGCUACCCCUGCCCGCUGUGGAAUGAGUUUUAUCAAGUGGAGACGCAGUGUGAAGGGAAAGGACAGCAGCAAGAAUGUCAUGAAGGCACAAAAUGUCCCUGAUGGCCCGGACUCCCCGAGCAGGCUUUCAGUCGUAAACACUCCAGCAUUGGAUCCUAUCAUCAGCGACUUCAGGUUGCAGUUACACAGCAACAAAGAUGCCCCGGAACAAGCUAAUCCUUCCAACGGGUGCUCAAGCUCGGACCUGUCGCUGGCUCUCAAGGACUGCAUGGCCGCCCUGGAUCUGUUCCUCCAAAAUGACUUUGAGGAGGCACAGGCCCGCCUUAGACCCAGAAUCAAAGUCAGUAUGUAUCAUGCCCUGACCUACGCCACCUUCUUAGAAAUGCAGGCCAUGAUGACCUUUGAACCCCGACACAUCCUGGAGGCAGGAAACACCAUGAAGGAGGCCCAGUCUAUUUGCCAGCGGUACCGGAAGAAGUCGAGCUUCUCCAAGGGCUUUACAGAAGACGAGAUCCAUGCUGAAGUCUGCUAUGCUGAGUGCCUCCUGCAGAGGGCAGCGCUCACCUUCCUUCAGGAUGAAAAUAUGAUCAGUUUCAUCAAAGGAGGAAUCAAAGUGAGGAAUAGCUAUCAGACGUACAAAGAGCUCCACAGAGUGCUCGAGUCCACUGCGUACAGUCAUGGUGACAAUCAUGGUCAUUUUGAGGGUGGAGUCAAAUUGGGAGUCGGAGCCUUUAAUCUGAUGAUCUCCAUGUUGCCGACACGGAUGCUCAAGCUGCUGGAGUUUGUGGGCUUCUCAGGUAAUAAGGAGUUUGGCCUCCAGCAGCUUCAGGAGGGCUGUGCAGAAAGCACAUUCAGGGCGUUCUUAUGUAACAUGCUGCUGCUCUGUUAUCACACCUUUAUGAGCUUUAUUCUAGGCACCGGAGAAGGAGACGUCGAAGACGCAGAAAAACUUUUGCAGCCAUAUCUCAAGAAAUACCCUAAGGGAUCAAUCUUCUUGUUCUUUGCUGGUCGAAUCGAGGAGAUCAAAGGCAAUCUGGAUGCUGCUAUCAAGCGUUUUGAGGAGUGCUGCGAGGCGCAGCAGGAGUGGAAGCAGUUCCAUCACAUGUGCUACUGGGAGUUGAUGUGGUGCUUCACAUAUCAGCGACACUGGAAAAUGGCCUACUUCUACGCCGACCUACUCAGCAAGGAGAACUCCUGGUCCAAGGCCACCUAUGCGUACAUGAAAGCAGCCUACCUCAGCAUGCUGACAGAGGAUGAUUGUCUAACCUUCGGGGAGACCGCGCACACUCUGUUCAGGCAGGUGCAGGGGCUGAAGCAGAAAAUUGCAGGCAAGUCUUUACCCACAGAGAAGUUUGCCAUCAGGAAAGCUCGUCGCUACCUCACAGAAAACCCCAUUCCUCUUCCUGUCCCACCACUGGAGAUGAUGUACAUUUGGAACGGCUAUACGAUCAUCGGCAAGCACAAAGAGCUGAGUGAAAACAUGCUGAAGACACUGGACGAGGCGCAGGCAAAACUUGAAAGCAUGGAACGCUCCGAGUUCUCCUUUGACGAUCAGUGUCUGCUGAGCUUGCUGAAGGGACUGUGUCUCAAGCACUUGGGGCAUCAGGAUGAGGCCGAACACUACUUUACUCUUGUCCUCUGCAAACCCAUUUCUUCUGCAGUGAGACCCAGAUCAAGUAUGACCACUACCUAGUUCCCAAUGCAAUGCUGGAGCACAGCUUGUUAUGUUUGGAACAAGGCCGGAACGAUGAAGCUGUAAAACUACUAGAAGCAGCAAAGCAAAAUUACAAAAACUACUCCAUGGAAUCCCGGACUCAAUUCCGUAUUCAGGCCGCCCUGCACAAAGCCAAAGGUGCGAGAGAAAAUGGAGUCUACGUGCCCUCAAGCCCAUAAAAAGCGAGGAGUGCACACAAGAGCUGAGAUCCUGCAUCUGCAUUCUCCCUCAAUGCACCACUUGGCUUUAGGCAGCCCCGUCACAGUUUUGGAAUGGUUCUUCAGGAGGGUUUUGGGGAAGAGGAACAGGGGAUAUUUUUUCUAUUUUCCUUUGCGUGUUUGUUUCUCCUUUACGAGCAACUGCCGCCAAUGGCGUGCCAAUGUGGCACUGAUGGCGAUCAUCAAGCGUGUCAUCUAGCGUGUGACACGUGCACUGGCUGGCCUUCACUUCCUCAAUCAAUUGGAAGCCGAGGCAUGUCCAGGCAUGUGCCUCAAAUAACGGCGCACUCAAGUACCAAAGCUUUUUUUCGGGGUUGUGUCGCUACAGCUACUAAGAAAAAAAAAAGUUGGUCUGUGCAGCGUUAAGGUGGUUGUGUGUGUAUAUUUAUCUAUAUAUAUGUAUACACAUAUACAUAUACACGUAUAUAUACACGUACUGUGUGUAUGUGUGUGUGUGUGUAUAUAUAU